ACCUGUGUAGCUCAGUCAGUGAAGCGUCUGACUUCGGCUCAGGGCAUGAUCUCGCGGUCUGUGAGUUCAAGCCCCACCGCGGGCU
rnacentral:tRNA from 1 species